rnacentral:rRNA from 1 species
GACGAACGCUGGCGGCGUGCCUAAUACAUGCAAGUCGAGCGCAGGAAACCGUUCCGAACCCUUCGGGGGGACGACGGUGGAAUGAGCGGCGGACGGGUGAGUAACACGUAAAGAACCUGCCCAUAGGUCUGGGAUAACCACGAGAAAUCGGGGCUAAUACCGGAUGUGUCAUCGGACCGCAUGGUCCGCUGAUGAAAGGCGCUCCGGCGUCGCCCAUGGAUGGCUUUGCGGUGCAUUAGCUAGUUGGUGGGGUAACGGCCCACCAAGGCGACGAUGCAUAGCCGACCUGAGAGGGUGAUCGGCCACACUGGGACUGAGACACGGCCCAGACUCCUACGGGAGGCAGCAGUAGGGAAUCUUCCACAAUGGACGAAAGUCUGAUGAAGCAACGCCGCGUGAACGAUGAAGGCUUUCGGGUCGUAAAGUUCUGUUGUAAGGGAAGAACAAGUGCCGCAGGCAAUGGCGGCACCUUGACGGUACCUUGCGAGAAAGCCACGGCUAACUACGUGCCAGCCGCCGCAGUAA